GAAUUAACAUUUUAUCUCAUCUAUGCACAUGAAGCUCUCAGAAAUGCUCUCAUCAGUAUGCCAUGGGCCAGCCGCAAGCGCUAAUCAAAACAGCCAACUGCAUUUUGCCUGUAUUCCACCAACUGUACUGUAUCAAAGCACGUCAGCCCAGUGCCAGCUCUCUCUUGCAUCACAGACCGGCUGGAAUCCCUGUGCACAGCACCAAUGAGCAGAACGUUAUACAAACAGGAUUCUUUUGCUGUCUAUAAGUAGUUUGUUAGGCUGCCCUACGCUACCCAGCAUUUUCUUUUCCUUUUUCAUAUAUCUCUGGGUAGCUCAUAUGUUGGGUUCUAAAGUCAAUGGUGGCACUUUAAAAAGGGACAGUUUUCUGUGACUGGGGAGAACUGUUUGGGAAAUCCACUUCUACAGUAGAGCCAAUAGAAAAAGACAUCCAGCCUGCAGGAUUGGAUGCAUGAAGCAAGAGCAGACAGAGCUGGUCUUCCCAUGGUGGAUCCAUUGUACAGAUCCCUGGCUCUGUUGUCCUCCAGCAGCUUCCCACACCUCUUCCCUCUGAAAGACAAGUAUUCUUCUCUGCCCAGUCUGGAGCAAAUCUUAUCACUGUUUUUUAAAGUACCUGCAGCACAGAGCCUCGCAGCUUAUUCAAAGACAAUCUAUUUUCUUCCCCCUUUAAGCAACUGCUGCUUCAUUUCAUGAAAUCAAACUGACCUUCUGCCAAGUGUCUUUAGGCUGGGAAGGGGUGCACAGGUGAUGCCUCUGGGUUAGGACCAGAGGUCCUCAAGGUGCGAUGCUCUGGGCUGGGACCUCAGCUGUGGCAGGAGAUGCUCCAGCACCAGCAGAAAACCAAAUGGGAGAAGAGAGGAAGACUUGCCAGGCACAAGUUGCUCAACAUCAUCGUAUUUCAAUAUUUAUAGAAUGCUGUCGCCUCUCAAAUGUAAAAUUGGGCUGUUAUCUCCGUAUGUGCAGAUUUUUCUACAAAUGCAGAUAUACUCACUUCAUGCUUUAACUCUUUCAAUCAGUUCCAUUAUUUCUAUGCUACUCAAAGCAAAGUCUUUCAGAGCUUCUCUUCAUUUUCCUUCUACCGUAAUAAAGAUGGAUUUGAUUCUUUUUUCCAAUGCAAAAUCCUAGGCAACACAGCCUCAAAUACUGCAGUUUGGGGGCAGUGAUUCCUGUGUUUAUGAGGACUCCAGGUCCCCAGAGCCAUCACCUUGUCCUCUAGCCAAGAAGGUUCACGUUUUUGAUUGUCUGUAAGGUCCCUUGAUGGGUUCACCACGGAUUAAUGAUGAUUUUCACCUGAAAAGCCGAGUCUCUGAAAAUUACAGUUUCUAAAAUGGGGACCGCAGGGGAAAGGAAGUUUGGCAGUGAAAGCUGCUGCCGUAUUGUGCUCUAAUCAUCAUUCCUGCAAUCGCUGUCUUCAGGGAUGCCUUUAAACGAAGGAAAGGGCUCUAUUUCUGCCCCCAGGUAACCUCAGUGAAACCAGAAAAGCUUCACUGCUGGAAAAGCAUUGCAGGUUUGAAAUGAAAUAAGCACCACCCACCCCAAAUCCACUUACCUGCCCGCUGAUAAGGAACCUGAUGUUUUUCCCACCCACAGCCAAGGAUUUUUAUCAGUUGCGUGUAGCAUUAAGCCUAUCUGCCCUCUCUGCUUUGUGAUGUGAAAGAUGCAUCUCAGCUUAAUUAUUCACCCUGUGAAAACACGUUGUGCUCCAGGCAGAUGGCUGCUGGCUGAGACAAUUUCUCAUUUUCUGGCAACCUCAAGACCUAUAGGGACCAUAUGCCAUACCAUAUAGCUUAUGCUAUGUCUGAGCAGCCCCGAUCAAUCUUCCUUUGCAGGAACAGAUCUGAUUUUAAUAGCAUCCCUGUCCUUGUUUUAUCAGGGACUGUCAACAGCAUAAAGAAAUACCUUAAUAAAUAGUGAUACAUAAAUACUGAAACCCUGCAUUUACCACAUUCAGUGCGCAUUGCUGAGCUGUUCAUCAUCUGAUGUUACCAGCGUUGCGUGGCAACUGAUGUUUAAAGGUUUGCUGACUCAAAGAGCCUCUGUACUGUAAAAGGUUUGGUGUAUUUAUUUGACAAGCUGUAGCUUCAAUGGGUCCUUUUUCAUUUUUAUGCAUGGCUGGUGUUCAUAAUGACUAUGAAAACUAUUUAAUUUUGGUUUCCAUGAAGCUGAGGAAUUUAGAGAUUUUAUAUUAUUACGGGGGGGGGGAAAGCUUUGAGCUCAUCAACAAAGAGGGCCCAGCAUGGAUGAUGCUCUCCAAGUUUAUCUGAGCUCAUCUGCUGCAGCACCACAUCCAUCAGAGCACGGCUCUUUUUGCUGAGCCCAUGGUCAUGCAGUGUUGCAAUUGGCUCUGCAUUAUUGAGUCCUCCUCCUGUUCUUGUGGCUGCAUGUGAUUUCCCUGGCACCUCUCUGCAAACAAAUGUCACUGUGAGGAAGCCAACUAUUUUUUUGCUAUUUACUGUAGUGAAGAUAUCUUUGAAUCACCAAAAUCGUUCAGGUUGGAAGAGACCUCCAAGAUCUCAAGUCCAACCCCACCCCAUCCUACCAUGCCCACUGACCACAUCCCUAAGUGCUGCAUCUCCAUGGUUCUGGAGCAUCUUCAGGGCUGGUGACCCCCCCACUUCCUGGGCAGCAGUGCCAGUGCCUGACUGCUCUUUCAGAGAUGAACUAGUUCCUAAUAUACAACCUAAAUAGCUUAUGCAAUUGCAGCUUCCCAGCUGAAAGACUCCCAAACGCUGCGUAAUGUCAUAUUUUCCUAAAAAUCUUCCAAAGGUCUUUGACAAUCCCUGUGCAGAAGUGCCAUAGGUUAUAUACUCAGAUGUGCUAUGAGACUUGGCAGCCAUUUGCUCUCAAUAUAUUGCUUUACAUCAUGAAAUCCCAUUGUGCUGGCUACCGACACUUUUAUUUAUACCUGUGAAAGGAAUGUCUGUCUGCUUGAUACUGAUUUCUGAAGUUUGUCUUUAGCUUAUGCCUGCUUUCACUGGAGGGUGUUAGCAGCUUGCUGUCUGUACACUCAGGCGCUAUGAGGGAGCUGGCCCCGGGUGAACCUUUGAUUGUACAGCCUCUUAUUUUGAGUUCUGUUUUAAACAUUGAGGGGGUUUUCCAUCAGUUUCAGCAAGUUUUAGCUAGAGCCUUUAGAGAGAGACAACAACCUCCACUAAUCUUAUGCAGGUGGGGCUUUGGGGGAGGUGUUCUCCAAGCCAAGAGAUAAACCAUCUCAGUAGAGAUGGGGAGCUGGAGGGGGAGGAAUAAUUUCUCCCUUUCCUGGAAAGCCACAGGGAUGAAGGACAUUUUCUUCCUGGGAGAGCAAUAGCAGCGAUGGGAGGGCUGGCUGAUUGCUGGUGUCUUGUUCACAUCAACAGAAAACAAAGUAGCAGCUACAGGCUGAUUUCACAGCAAACAGAGUUGCCCAAUGCUGAGGAUGUGAGUCUGUCAGCUUCUUAUUUAACCAAAGCCUCAACACUGUGAUUCUGGGCUGUGUCAGUGCCGUCAGCUGCAGGUGAGAGGCAGCAUAUGCAUCCUGAGACCUAGAAAACAGGUUCAGAAUGCAUCCACUCAUCUUCCAGACCAAUGAUGACCAUUCAUCAUGACCGCCGUCUCCAGCCUUGUCUUAUGGCAGAGCUUGCCAGAAAAUUCAGAAGCCCUUCCAUGGCCAAUAGGAUGACCUUGUGGUGCUUGUAGGACAGGGCAUGUGACAGCUCAGCCUUCUGCUCCCAAUCCCACAGGAAACCUGGAUCAGCGCUGAGCACUGAUUAAGGAAUAUUUGACCUUUAAAGUAGUUUUCUAUAUCAACUGAAGCUGUGUUUCAGCUGCUGAAGUCCCAGUGCCAGAUGAAAACAUCUACCACAAGAAAUAAAAGGUCACUAAAUCCAAACCUUUCACAUCUGUGUCCAGAAAGAACAUGUUGAGUGAUGCUGUUGCUAAGAUGUUCUUAAAUAUCUUCUAGUUCCAGGGAAGCUUUGGGGACCUGUGGUAUACCUAAACAAUGAAGAUUUAUGGGGAAAAGUCUGUCCAUCAGCAUUUCUCACUGCACUCGCAGCUUUUGCCAGUUCCAUGUAAAGGUGCAGCCCCAGCUCAGGUGGGAGCUGUGUGCCACCAGCACAAAUACCUGGGUUGCCUCUGUCAGAAGAGAAAGGUGCAAAUGUGAAGCCUAAGUAUUGAGCUGCCACAGGGCUGAAGAUACCCAGAGUGAUGUUAACUGAAUUAGCAAUAGCAACCAGGACCUUGCAAAACUACUGCAGGCCAGUCAGAAUUUACAUAGGUUGGAGACAUCGACCCCCAUCUGCAAGGGAGAGGGGCUCUGAUAGAUAUUGUUACCAAGUUUCUUCCGGGCACUGAGAUUCCAUCCUUGUGGCUUAGUAUUUCCCUCCCCAACAGGACUGUAAGUGUUUGCAGAUAGGGAACAGAGCCCUGGCUGAAUCACAAAGACCACAAAUGAGUGCAAAUACCUUUGGUAACCAAUGGGGCCUUUUUCCAAGUGCCUGCUGGAGGUGAGGAGAUAAAGUUUCUUGCAGUAUAGUAACAAUACAAGCAUCCACAAUUGCACAGAGAGGGAAAAAAAAAAAAAUACCCCAGCCCAAACUUGAGCCUGUAAAUGAAAACACAUUGAAAAUGUAAAAGAAUCUUUCCAAACCAUCUGAACCAGAGCCAUUGGGAAGGCUGCUAAGGUAACAACACAGUGACCCCAGGCUGACUCCAGUGCAGUGCCAGGAGCACAGUGGUAGGAGGAGGCUCUCCUUCCUAAUCCUUCCUGAUUUUUUUCCACUAUCUCUAAGAGCCUCAAGUAACUUCGAGAUCUCUCCAGCACUGGCUUCCAGCACAUCCAGUGUUGUCUGGGAGUGGAGCCCCUGAAUAUCAGGUCUUCCCAUGAACCAGAAUAUCUUGACGUUCAUGUCUGAUUUGGGAAAGCUCUGCAGUAGGAUGGCUCCAAGCAAAAUACAUUCAUUAUAUUGUUGCCUGCUUCUCUGACACUUCUAGGCAUUUCUUAAAUGUGAAGAACAGCAUGCUGCAAUAGCUACAAUAGCAAGACUAAGACAGAAAACCUGGUCCUCAGCUUUGCUCCUGUGGGAGCCUGGGUCUGAGUUAUCACCAUGCACGUUGUACAUCUGAUUCACUUCAGCUGAGGGCAUUUGGCCUAAACUAAGGAUCAGGGCUCAUUUGAAAUCAUAAUAAUAACCAUAAAAACAAGGUUAAUGGAUCCUGUGGCCCCUACAGGAGGACUUGCAUCCUUGGCAGGAUCCUUUUCAUUCACCUAUGUUCUCUGACAUAGAAGAGGUUUUGCUGAAACCUAUGGAUAGGAUUUUCAAUUCACCCCUGUGCCAGGUGAGCACUGUACCACUGCUGUGAUGUAGGAAGUCUGCAUUCAAAAUUAAUAAAAAAUCCUUUUCAGGCACAUUUUCUAUAUCCUCUUCUGUAACCCAGUGACUUGUAGAGCCACCUGAACCCGCAUAAAGAAAGAGAAAGCAGAGCAGGUAAAACGCUGAUAGGAGGGUUGGUUUUGCAGCUGCUUUAUAUGACUUUAUUACUGACAUAAGGUACCUGGUGAUGCUGAACUUCCCUUUUGUAUUCACUGCCUUGGCUGCUUGUAGGUUCUUGGAUCUAGGCUGAUACUAAUGCAAGCGUGCUAUUCUGGCAUCCUGGAGAGAAUGAUGACUGUCCUGCUCACUGAGCCCCAGCCCAAUCCCUCUGCUCUGCUCUUCUUUGCUGCCAAUAACCAUUGCAGUCACACGGCUCCGGGCUGUCAGGGCUCCAGGUUCCCAUCGCCCGCUCUGACCUUGGGCACUUCCUCAGUUUCCCCACCAGUAAAACAGAAAUAGUGCUUCCAUCCUUCCCAGAGCCCUCCGAGACAUGCAGCAGAACAGUAUGGCUUAAGUGCACUUAGGACGACAAUGGAUUAUUUAUUAUUCCCCCAGGAAAUUGUUCCUCAGCCUGAUACAUCUCAUUGUUAAAAAGCUAUUCUUGAUAUUCGCUAUGAUUUUGUUCCUUCCUCAAUCCCACUGCAUUACUCAUAGUAAUAUUCCUUCUCUUGUUUCCCUUCCCAAGGGGAAAGGAGAAGGAUACAUUUUUAGAGGUGACUUUUUGUGUCAUGUUUUUGUACCCAGUAAAACUUUCCCAAACACAACGGCUGAGCACCUCCAGUGGCCUUGAAAGUCAUUCGGUGAAAGGCACUCUGCCCCCCUGAAAGUAAUUAACUGGAGUGAUUAGAAAAGAACGCGACGCUCUGUCAUCUUCAUUUGCUUCUUUCUUUGGUUUUGUUUGAAUUGAAAAGAAAAAGACCUACCUCAAGGUCCUCCAGUGUGAUUUCACAUCCUCCUCCUGCUGCUCAGAAGAGGCAAAGGCUAUGGUUGAAUUCUACCUCUGAUUUUUUUUAAUCGAAAUAUUAUUAAGAGUCCACAUUGAUGUAUUAAUUAAAUAAACCCUCAACUGCUUCCCUUUCUGUUAUCUUUUGUAACACAUUUUGCAUUCCCAUCCCCUGUGGCUGUUUCAAAUGCCCACCCUGAAAAACUCCGCGGAGGAGAUCAGCAAACUGAGCAAACAUUCAUUUCCUUCUGGGACAUCUCAGUGAAAGAGGGAACACAUAUUAACCUGGCCAUGACAAGAGCAGAACAAAAUUUGCCUUUCAGAGGUAAAGAAUGAUCCACUAAGAAAGAAACUGUCAGAGUGGGUCAGAAGGACAUUUUUCAUGCCCUGUUUUGCAUGUGACAAAGUUUCUUUUUCUAGCACCUUUCCAAACUUGACUGGCCCCUCAGAGACCUGAGGCUUCAAGUCAUGAGUCUAAACCUGCCAGCAAUGGGAAUGUUCCAAAGGACAGGAAAAUCAGACCCUUCAAUGCAGCCCAAAGGAGAUGUGGGACCCUGCAUGUGUUUUCCAGUGGGAGGAGCUUUAUUGUGGAGACCACGGGAGAUUUGCUGGAAACACUGGUCAGAAACCCACACAUCAGUUGAGAUCUGGUCCACGUUUCAGCUCCCAUGUGCCACAAGCAAGAUAGCAGAUAGAGAUGAGGUUUUAAACAUCCCUGGAGGUGGCUGAGAAUCAUGGAGAUGCAGCUCUGGGGAACAUGAUCAGUAGGCAUGGCGGGAUGGGUUGGGGUUGGACUUGGUGGUCUUAGAGACCUUUUCCAACCUUCAUGAUUCUGUGAUUCUAUCAGGCUUCUUGUCAGACCCAUCUCACAAACACACGCAGAACUCAGAGAAACCCAAUGCCAUCUUUGUCUCUCUUUUAUAUGUAGGUGAAAUGGAUGAUGACUGAGAUUUUGUGGUGUCAGGUGCUAUAGAAGCCCAACCCCAAUGUGGGUAGAUGUCCCUUCUCAUUCUCCCACGUGUUUAAACACAGGCACAGGCUGAUGGGUUUGGGGCAGAAAGCUGUGUAUAUGGACACGGAGAAACUCCCCAGACCAGAUGUUAAUUGCUUCUGGGCUGAGUGACACAGCAGCUUAUUGAUAUCGUUUUUCUCCUUUUCUACGUGCAGUUGAACAGUGGCAGCCUGUGAUUAUUUUAACUGACUGAUGUGCAUGGAAAUCCUUUCAUUAUAGGGAAGAACCACAUCUGAGCAAGUGAGUUUGGAAACACAGAGACGUGAGUGCAGCAUUCCUACAUCCUCCAAAUGGCACAGAAGGAAGGGAGGUAUUGGGGAGAGGCCAGGAGGGGAUGUUAAGGAGGGGUUAGUGCUCCUCUGAAACAGCAAACAGAAUUAAAAUGGAAAUACAGAGGGAGGUUGAAAAGUCAGCUGCUAAAUGCUCUGCAAGUGAAUGUUGUUAAAUAUUUAAAUUUCACAACCAAGCACAUUUUUGUUUAUUAAAAAAAAAUAGAGAAAGAAAGAAAUGCCCAGGAGGACUCUGCAGCUGAGUCAUUAAGCAGGGUAAUGACAUUUCCACCUCUCCCCUCUAUAAAUAAUUAGAACUGAGUUAUGUGCAAUGGAGGAAUAGCGCUGAGGAUGUGCAGGUAUGGGAUGGACUGGCCUAGACCACCAGGCUCCAUGUCAUCCCCCAUAGCUCAAACCAGGGCACCAAGCUCAAGGACUUUGUAUCUGCCAGGAGAAGGAUUCCACCUCCACCAGUAUCCCCCAGGAGCUACCAAGGAGAUAUUAGUUGUGCCAGGCUGCUGGGAGGUGAUGGGAACUCACCUACCAGCAUGGCUUUCAGCUCUUGCAGUGGUCAUUGUUCAUCUCAGCUGAGAAUGGAACUACAAAUGUGUAUGAAAAUGAGUUAAUCUUAUAUCUUGUUUCAAUAUUUCCAAUUAAAACUAAGCGCCGGGGGCUGAUCUGAAAUUUGUUUUCUUGUUUUAUUUUCUCACCAUUUCCCAGUGGAGACUUCAGCAGAGCCAACAGGAUCCGACAGGCUCAGCCUGUUAACUUGAAAUGGUUGUUCUGAGGUACUACAAAAGACCCCUCAUUUUUGGUACCCUGAAGUUUCCACAAACACCAAGCAUCUUCCAAGCCAUUCGAAGCAAAGCUCAGCUUUGCAGAAUCAAGCUGGAGCAGAUCUCCUCCACCAGCCCUCACCCACUGCAGCUGUUAAGAAGAGCUGUUCCUUCUCUCACCUCCAUCAAAAGCCGUACCAACAUCAGUAUGAGCAAACACUAAAAUGAAAUUGCUCAUAAACAGUGAAUUUCUCAACACAGACUCCAUUCAAAUCAUCAUUUAAAUACGAAUUUCCAAACCUAUCUCCUGCCAAAAAAUUAAUGCAUUUAAACAGUCCUGAGCCGUGUGUACUGUAACACCUUAUUUGCCCAUUCUAAUGGGCUGGGAAAGGAGAUAAAACUCUCAGAGAGCAUUCCAAAUUUCUCUUCCAUGCUGAUAUUUACAAAGAUCUGAAUCAAAGGAAGGAGAAAGAGUAGAAAACUGGUUUCUGCUUUGAAGCUUUGAGCACUUAGGGUUAGAUCAGAUAAAGGGCUUGAGUAGGGGGGUGGAUAGCAACUCUGGACUUUUAUCUCUCAAUCCUACCUAAGUGCUGUUGAACCCUACAAGUGCCUGAGCUCUGAAUCACACUAUUUGACAUGAAAGUAUUUUAAGCGUGGAUUUAUGUCCAAAAGUUUGGCUUCUCCACUAGCUUCCACCCAUGGUUUUAAAAGGAACUCAGUUGGUCGCUGUGCAAUGCAAAGCCGGUGAAAGUAAAUCAUUCAUUGAGGGUUUUGCAUGGCAAUGUCCCACAGAACUACAUCCAUGGCUUCUGGUAAUCCUGAAUUUUGGAACUGUCUUUUGGAAACCCUGCUCUGCAUCCUUCUGGUAAUAAAGCCCUCUCAAAGCAGGCUUGUGCCUUGAGACACCGAGUGGGAUGGGGGUUGGAAGGAGAAACCAAGGCUAGGAAGUCCCCGUGCUGCUGGUUCUGAAUCACUUACUGAGCCCAAUUCUCUGUUCUUCACAUUUCCUCUUAUUUUGUUGGGAGCUCAGUGAGCAUAACUACAAAAAGCAUCUUUCUGCCCUGGAGGGAGAACAGCUGGCCAGGCUGUGCACGCAUCUCCUCUGCCUUGUACAUGGGAAAUGCUCCCUUUCUCUCUGACUACACUUCAGGACAGUUCUGUGCAUUAACAUUAUUAUUCAUGCAUGAUCCAGAAAAUGUUAUCUACAAAAUAACCGUCUGCAUUUAAUAAAAUUUUCAAAGCUACACUGGUACACCGUUCACAUUAUUUU